rnacentral:rRNA from 1 species
GACGAACGCUGGCGGCGUGCCUAAUACAUGCAAGUAGAACGCUGAAGGAAGGAGCUUGCUCUUUCCGGAUGAGUUGCGAACGGGUGAGUAACGCGUAGGUAACCUGCCUGGUAGCGGGGGAUAACUAUUGGAAACGAUAGCUAAUACCGCAUAACAGUAGAUAUCGCAUGAUAACUACUUGAAAGGUGCAAUUGCACCACUACCAGAUGGACCUGCGUUGUAUUAGCUAGUUGGUGAGGUAACGGCUCACCAAGGCAACGAUACAUAGCCGACCUGAGAGGGUGAUCGGCCACACUGGGACUGAGACACGGCCCAGACUCCUACGGGAGGCAGCAGUAGGGAAUCUUCGGCAAUGGACGGAAGUCUGACCGAGCAACGCCGCGUGAGUGAAGAAGGUUUUCGGAUCGUAAAGCUCUGUUGUAAGAGAAGAACGAGUGUGAGAGUGGAAAGUUCACACUG